GCCUCCGUAGCUCAGGGGAUAGAGCACAGCUCUCCUAAAGCUGGUGUCGCAGGUUCGAAUCCUGCCGGGGGCAC
rnacentral:tRNA from 5 species